AGUGAACGCUGGCGGCGUGCCUAAUACAUGCAAGUCGAACGGAAUUUAAAAGAGCUUGCUCUUUUAAAUUUAGUGGCGCACGGGUGAGUAAUAUAUAGCUAAUCUGCCCCUUGCUGGAGGACAACAGUUAGAAAUGACUGCUAAUACUCCAUACUCCUUUUUACCAUAAGAUAAAUCGGGAAAGAAUUUCGGCAAGGGAUGAGACUAUAUCGUAUCAGCUAGUCGGUGGGGUAACGGCCUACCGAGGCUAUGACGCGUAACUGGUCUGAGAGGAUGAUCAGUCACAUUGGAACUGAGACACGGUCCAAACUCCUACGGGAGGCAGCAGUAGGGAAUAUUGCGCAAUGGGGGAAACCCUGACGCAGCAACGCCGCGUGGAGGAUGACACUUUUCGGAGCGUAAACUCCUUUUGUUAGGGAAGAAUAAUGACGGUACCUAACGAAUAUCACG
rnacentral:rRNA from 1 species